UACAGAGGUGGCAAGCGUUGUUCGGAAUUACUGGGCGUAAAGGGCGCGUAGGCGGCCUUCUAAGUCAGACGUGAAAUCCCCCGGCUUAACCUGGGAACUGCGUCUGAUACUGGGAGGCUUGAGUAUGGGAGAGGGAUGUAGAAUUCCAGGUGUAGCGGUGGAAUGCGUAGAUAUCGGGAGGAACACCAGUGGCGAAGGCGGUUGCCUGGAGCUUUGCUGACGCUGAUGCGCGAAAGCGUGGGGAGCGAUCCGG
rnacentral:rRNA from 1 species